UUGCAGCGACCCUCAGCUUCCUUUGAUGUAUGCCUUUGGUUUUGUCAAGUUCUGGUGGAUGGAUGCUGGGGGCCCGAUGAACUUUUGGGGUAUUUAUAGUCUAGAGAGCGCGUGGCACAAAUUAGAAGGUAAUCGGGCGAAGGAACACCCUAGGCCGAUCGACCUAGGGGGGUUCAUGCCGAUCGGCCUGGGCCUUCCUUUCGUCGUCUCGCACCCUCCUUCGUCGUCAAGUCUCCCCUGAUGUUUG
rnacentral:lncRNA from 1 species